CUCACUGGGAAGAAAAACAAGCAGCACUAGCAAGAAUCGGUAAAGCAGAUCGUCGCUUUUCCCACCGAAGGUUUACGGCUUAAACUUCGAUUAUGUUUUUAUUUUAAAAAUGCAUCUGUAUUAAAAAACGCUACCGAACAACGGGAAACACAAAAGUUUAACUGACACCACGGAGAAAAGCCUUUAAUGGGCUCUGAUUUUAAGUCUUGCUGUUGAAGCUGGGUAUUAUCCACAGAACUGUUUCCAGCUGCGAUUAAAGCUGAUAAAGUAGCUCUCCCGAUGACAGUUCAGCUACAACAGCGCCCCCACGUGGCCGGGGUGUGGCUGUUGCUCUGCUACCUGACAGGUGCAUGGUCCAUCCCAGACCCCAGACACAGAGAAGCGCUCAUCCAGCUGGAGGCCUUCAUGCAGACAGGUGGGCAGAUGGUUCUGACCGAGGCUGAGCAGCAGCUGGAUGCUCUCCUGUUCAAGAUGAAGCAGGAGGAGACGGCCAGGGCGGAGUUUCCUCCUGCGGUGCAUUUUUUCAAGGCCAGAGACCUCAUCAGAACCAGUCCCAUCUUCAAACUGCUGCAAAAGAUGCCUAAAGGCGGCGCUCUUCAUGUCCACGACUUUUCCAUGGUGGACGUUGAUUGGCUGGUGCAGAAUGUGACGUACCGCCCACACUGCUACAUGUGUGGUACUGACAACCAGUCGGUCAGGUUCAUCUUCUCCGCUCAGACACCCAGACCUUUGUCGCAUUGCUCUCCCUGGGUCCUGCUGGAAAACCUCCGGGCCAAGAUGGUGAACUCCACAGAUCUGGACGACAGCAUCACACACAACCUGACGCUUUUCACCAGUCGGGAUCCAGAAGUGGUGUAUCCCACUCAGGAUGUGGUUUGGGAAAAGUUUGAGCAGGCCUUCCUUGCCGUGUGGGGUCUGGUUACUUACGCCCCCGUGUUCAGAGACUACUUCUACCAAGGCCUGACUCAGUUCUACGUGGACAACGUCAUGUAUCUGGAACUGCGCGCGCUCCUCCCAGAGGUAUACGAGUUAGACGGCAGCACCCACAGCAGAGCCUGGACUCUGAAGACCUACCAGGACGUCACCAGGCAGUUCACAACCAACCAUCCAGACUUCCUUGGUGUGAGAGUCAUUGCCACAAUCCACAGAGGUGUGAACGCGUCGGUGAUGGCUGGAGCUGUGGAGGAAGCGAUGGAGCUGAAGAAGAGCUUCCCUGAUUUCAUGGCUGGGUUCGAUCUGGUGGGUCGGGAGGACCGAGGCAGGCCCCUGUGGUAUUUCAGAGAUGCCUUGUCUCUGCCUGCUGAGAAGGGGAUCACGCUUCCUUACUUUUUCCAUGCUGGAGAAACGGAUCUGGAGGGCACUGACGUGGACCAGAACUUGUUAGAUGCUCUGCUCUUGAACACGUCACGCAUCGGCCACGGAUUUGCUCUGCUUCACCAUCCGGUGGCCAAAGACUUAUCCAGGAAGAAAGGAGUGGCUGUGGAAGUGUGUCCCAUCUCCAACCAGGUGUUAAAGCUUGUAAAAGAUCUACGAAACCAUCCCGCAGCAGCACUGAUGUCAGAAAGUCACCCAGUCGUCAUCAGCUCUGAUGAUCCGGCCAUGUUUGGCGCCUCUGGUCUCUCGUAUGACUUCUAUGAAGCUUUUGUGGGUUUUGGAGGCAUCAAGUCCCACAUCGGCUCCCUUAAGCAGCUGGCGAUGAACUCCAUCAGGUAUAGUUCUUUAGAGUCAGAGCAACAGGAGAAAGCACUGGGCCUGUGGCAGAGAAGAUGGCAGAAAUUUGUCUCUAAAUGGACUUUUUCAAAGUAGAACAAUUCUUCUGAUCUCAACCCCAACGUGUUCUUCACGUUCAUGUUUCUGCCAGCAGAGGGCGCCGUGUGGCCUCACAGUGAGGCUGCAAAGGGCAUGCUGUGAUGUGUGGGGGAAACCGGAGUACCCGGAGGAAACCCAUGCAUGCAUGGGGAGAACACGCAACUCCACGCAGAAAGGUGAGUUUUGAACCUGCGACCUUCGUCCUGCGAGGCAACAGUGCUAACCACUGUGCCACCAUGCAGCCCAUUAUCCGUCCUUGCGUAGGGCUCCAGCAGGCACGCAAGUACGUACGGAGUCGAGCCCACUUUUUUAAACAUCCGUCGAACGAAACGGAUUACGCAAGCUUGUGAUUGGUCAGGACGCCGCUGUUGUUUACAGCGCCGCCAUUGCAAAGAGAGCCGAGUUUAACUAGCGGCAGACACGGAGAAGCUUGAAGAAUGCCUCGUGAAAAAACUCUAAAAAUAUGAACGUUUAAUUCUCCCGUGACUGGAGGAGUGAAAAGAUGCGCAGCAAGCGUUUUAUUUGUGGACAGAAAUGACAGGAAACGUGGGUUUAGAGGUGGGGAGCGCAUGAAGCGGUGGGAGAAUGAGAGACAAAUAUGUCCGUGUUUAAAGUCUCUUAUAUACACAAAAAACACAAUAUAAACACACCAUCUUGGACCGAUACAUGACAGGAUACCACAGAACAGCGCUACGCCCUCUGUGGUCCUGCCGGGCAAUUGCGUUGCAACACUCUCCAGGAGACGGAGAAGUAUGAGAGCAAAAUGCUUCCGUCAAUCCGUGCGUGUCUGUCCCUUGCGGAGCUGACGGAGAAGCAUAAACCAGGCUUUAGAACUAAUCUGCAUGAGAUAUUGUUCAAAGUCUCAUGCAUUUGCUUCUAAACUGCUGCCUUUCCAGCCCAAGAGAAGAAUGAAGACAAAGGACUUUUUCUUUUUAAUAAAGCUAAUCGAACAAAGUGUUAGUCAAUAAUAAGAUGUUGACCAAUCUGUGAAAUGACAAUGUUAUGAUUAGUAAGUUUUAAUAAGUAAUAUGACUAGUCUAGCUGCACUAGACAUCCUGAUGACACGUAAUGUAAACACAUGACACAUUGCUUUUACUCAUCCAAUCGGAACCUUCCUUUCUGAAGCGUGGCGUAGUCUCUGUGGGGUUUAUAAAUCUGUCAAACUUUGACCGUAAAUCAAAACAUCCAGAUUCAUAAAACCAGUCCCACGCCAUCUUAGAUCAGUUCACCGCAUGCUAAGGGAGGAAUCGGACCGGCCACCCGGACUUCCUUUUUAAGCAGAGAACCAACAAGCUGGAUAAAAUCUAAUUCCAUGCUGUCGUUCUUUUUUUAAAACACAGAAAUCGUUUUGUUGCCUGUUUUUCCCGCUACGUUUCGUCUGCAGCCAAGAGACUAAACAUCUGGCCCGCGGGCCUUGAGUCUGACAUAUGUGUUCUAGUAUCUGCUCUUUAACUGUAUUAUUUCCUGCUAUUUCAGCUGUUAACUUUAUUUUCUCUCCAAGUGUUUUUCUCCCCAGAAGAAGCUACAACGAUGUUCUGCUGAGCUGUGGUGGCCUCAUGGAGGGGGCCAUCGUCUAGCACACUGCUGCUAACCACUUAAACAUUCUCCCUCUCCUGAUAAUAACACUUUACUCUCUUUGACGUUGGAUGUGCUACUACUAGUUUACCCGUUUAACAAUAGAUCCACUAGGAUAAAUACGUGUGUGUGUGUGUGUGUGUGUGUGUGUGUGUGUGUGUGUGUGUGUGUGUGUGUGUGUGUGUGUGUGUGUGUGUGUGUUCUCCAUCCCCAGUGAGUCGUGGAGGAUGGCUGCUUAUACUGAGCCAGGAUUCUCUGGAGGUUUCUUCCUGUUAAAAGGGGGUUUUCCUCUCCACUGUCGCUGCAUGCUUGCUUAGUAUGAGGAUUGCUGUAAAGACUGACACUAGUCAGUGACUUGAUGCGACCUGCUGGGUUCCUUAUAUAGGAAACUUUUUUCUGAUUGGCUGAAUGACCUGACCUGUACUGGAAUGUUUAUUAUGUGAAGGUCCUGGAGACGACUCUUGUUGUGAUUUGGCGCUUUAUAAAUAAACUUGAAUUGAACUGA